rnacentral:rRNA from 1 species
CCAAGGAGUCUAACACGUGCGCGAGUCGUCGGGUCGUCCUCCGAAAAGUCGACGAAACCCGAACGGCGCAAUGAAAGUGAAGGUCUCGUUCCGUCCUUGCGUUUCUGUCUCCCAGCCUUUGUUUUGUUGCCUCUUUCCUUUGCCGUUCUCAUCUUGCCUCGUUCGCGCGGGGUAUUGGUUUGGCGGUAGGGCAGGGUACAUCGGGGUUGGCCGGGACGUUCGCGAGGCGGGCUUGACCGAGGCGGGAUCCGGUGCAAUCCCUUUCGGUUCAUUUAAAGUUCGGGGGGAGAGACUGCGGGGGAAGUGGAAAUUCGUUUCCGCUUUCUUUUAACCUCCUCCUCCGUUCCGAACCGAUGAAGCCGGGGCACGCUUAAAAAUAGCGGCGUUCGGAGUAGCGGUUUUUCGUCGUCGUCAUCGGCGUGGUGCGUUCGCGCGCCUCGUUCGUGCGGCGCGAAUUUUCGCGAGCCCGUUCCUGUCUGGCAGCCCUCGGCCGGCGCACCGCCGGCCCGUCUCAAUGCCGCAACGAUACGGCGAGGCGGAGCCAGAGCGUACACGUUGGGACCCGAAAGAUGGUGAACUAUGCUCGGGCAGGACGAAGCCAGAGGAAACUCUGGUGGAGGUCCGUAGCGAUUCUGACGUGCAAAUCGAUCGUCGGACCUGAGUAUAGGGGCGAAAGACUAAUCGAACCGUCUA